ACUAGGGGGGCUUCGGGGAGAGCAGCCCUGGUGGUCUGCGUCUGUGCAGGUCCCUGCUGGGGAGCUUGACUUCCCGCGUGGCAUCCCGCGGCGCUGAUGCCGGGGGCCGGGCGGUAUUCACCGCCGAAGAGCCCCGGAGGAGGCCCCGGGCACAGGAGCCAGCUCGGCUCACGGUGGGGUCUGCUGGGAGGCGGCUGGGUGCUCUUUUUCUAUGCAGACGGGAAACUUUUUGAAAAGUGACUACAAUUCAUUUGUGAGUGGGCAGAAGUCCUGUGGACUCUGGCUGGGUCUGGGGUGACUCUCCUGCCCUUUGGGACUCCCAGCUUUCCCCUUGACCCCCAGACCCCGUCCAGAUGAAUGCCUCACAGGUCGUGGGGGCUUGAGCCAGGCUGCGGGAGUGUCCCAGGCUCUGAGAGCUCGUGUGCCAGGGAGCUGGGGACGUUGAGGAGGGCUUUUCCCUGGACUCCGGGGACGGUUAUUGCGGAGGUCUUGGGAGGGCACAGAUGAGCGGCGGAACCCAGGUGGCCCCGAAGUUGAAGCUCAGGCUGCGGUGUCGGGUGCCCUUUUUGUAUCCUUGGCUACGUGAAAAUGAUAAAUCACAGCAGCUACGUGGAAAUGGGACAUCAGCUUCUGCUUCUGUCUGCCAUUUGCUCCUUCCUUUGUAGAGGGGAUGCCUCCAGAGCCUUAAGCACAACCCCCACCCCCUGCCCCCACCCACCCCCACGUGAAACUCCAACCCAGCCAUGCCCGGCUGCAGACCCACUGCCACACAGCCACAGCAUGCUCAGUGGCCUCUGCACACUGCAGGCUCUGCGGAGACAUUGCCCUGCCCUGGGUGGUAAGAGAGAACCAACUCGCUCCGGGCUGUCCCCUCACACGGACGGGCUGCCUGGAGGAGCAACAGAGUCAUGUUGGACCUCUCUUCCUGAUGAGGACAACGGGAGGUCCUUUCAUGUCCCGGGGCUGCUGUCCCACCCCACACCAGGGUCAGUGGCAGGACAGGGGCCAGGGCCCAGCUGGACCCUGCCGCUUAGCAAGCCCCCUGUGUCUGUGCCCGGCCUGCACCCCCAACUGGCGCCUCCCUGGCCCCCGUCCCCCCCAGGCACCUGCAAAGCCUUCUUUCCACCUCUCACCACCGCACGUGCCAGGCUCGCCCUGGGCCACUGCGAGGCCUCAAAACCCUGCAGGCCGCCGCCUCCUCCUCCUCCUCCUCCUCCUCCUCCUCUCCCCACUCCCAGCAGGUUCGGGGCGGCUUCCCUUCCUGCUGGUGAGGGCCUAACCUUGAGGUCCCAUUGGUCUCCUUCUGGCUCUUUCUCCACAUUUUUCAGAGUCUGGCUUCACGGCUGGUCAUAGAAGUUGGCAGGGAAGGAGGCAGCCUCUGCUUCCCACUCAGAGACAUUUUUAAACGCAAUGAAAAACAUAUCGAUACAAUUAAGUAUUCCAAAGUGCUUAGUUUGCCACUCGCUAAGUUUACUUAAACCCUCUUUAACAGGCUCAUUAGGAGCUGGUGAGCACCGGGAAAUUCAUUAACAGGAAGGCGGCCCCCUGCAUUUGACUGUAAAUUGGUAUUGAUCAGGGGCUGGUGGAGGCUGGGCGGCCGGCCACAAAGAGCCAGGUGUGGGACCAGCCUCCCGGGGGUGCCACGGCAGUGGCGCUGGGCAGGUGACGGUGGCUGCUGACCCCCGGUGCCCGUGUAAGCUGCUGGCUCUGCGCAGCUGCCGCUUCAGGUGGGCCGCACUGCGCGGCGGUUCAGGGUGGUGACGCUGCGAGGCGGGGACGGGGGAGAGGGUGAAGAAGAGCGAGAGAAGGAGGGAGAGAACCGGGGGAGCGACGCUUCCUCGCCCACUGGGUGUCUGCUGUGGCCAGGCUGAGGCACCUAGGGAGUUGCCCCCCUAGUGGACGGCCUCUCAGGAGAUCCUGGCCACCCUCUGGGAACCUGGAAUCCUCCAAGCAUCGUCUUUCUCGCCUGCAUCUUCGGAGAGAGGUGCUGAGCCCUCCCUCAUGGACACGGGGUCCCGGGAGGCAGCCUUCACCAGGGACCUGCCCAGGAAACCAGCAGAUGCCCAGGACCAGGUCGUUUGGCCUGGGGUGUGUCAUGCAUCAGGAUUGCUGGUGGCGCCCUCUUGGUGCAGUUCUGCCUGUUCCUCUGUCCUCUGAGCUUCCUGUGUGCUGGUGGCUGGACCCGGAGACUCCUCCCACUCAGGCUGCAUCCCUGCAGCAGGAACCCAGGUUCUGUUGUGUCCCCCCAUCAGGAGGACACAGGUCAGGGCUGUGCACUUCUGGAAUGGUGGCCAGGCUUGCUGUGUGCCUCAAGCCACUAAUCCAUCAAGGUUGCAAGACAGUGAUGUCCUGAGUCUGGAAGUUCUUUUUCACUUAUUUGUUGGGAUACCUUUAUGGAAACUCUUCUCCUCCACGCAGUCUCAUCCCCAGUGCCACUGUCCAGAGGAAGCAGGAUAAAGGCACAAAUCUUCUCCUGCAGCUGCCGCUUUUCAGGAAAAUGCACCGGGUCCCCGAAGCCCUCCUGAGGGUUGGCUUGCUCGAUACCACUGUGCGCGCAGGCCCCUUUCCAGCGGGAACUGUGGACAGCAUCGAAGGGAAGACAAGGUUCCUGCUGCACCAGAAGCCCCUUAUGGAGCAGUGAAGGAUUUCACAGAACUAAAGAUCAGGUGCCUGAGACAGGAGUUUUUAACAAAAAGAUGCUUUGAAAGCCAAGGGGGAGGCUGAGUUAUGAGAAAGCUUUGCACGACCGCAAGGAAUACAGAGCCCAGAGCUGGGAUCCGAGUCACUGCGGCACUAGGACAGAGGCACCUCGUCGUACGCACCUGGGAGCCCAGACUGGCCCGGCCAUUGGCAGCAAGGGGUCCCCGGUGUGGGCUUGCAGCUUGUUCACCUUUACUGUGUCUUCAGGGGCACAUCUGUCCAUCUCAGCGAGGCUUCAGUGAACGUGCGGAGGACGUGGAAGCAGACACCGCACUGUGUCGGGGGCCUGAACACGAAGUCGGUAGAGGAGCAGGUCUCCAGGCACGGCUCCGGCAACACCAACGGGAAGCGGGCCACCUUGGAGAGCGCUCUUCCACUGCUGGAGUUCCUGGUCAAUACGGCAUCGUCUGCGUGGAGGGUCUGAUUCGUGAGAUCUACGCUGCUGGAAAACACUUCAAAGAAGCAGACUACCUCCUGUGGGCUGAAGUUCUCUUCUCCACCAGGUGAAAUGAAGAAAAAGCCCACUCGUUUUGUAGAAGGUGGGGGUGCUGGCAGCCAGGAAGACCAGACCAGCAGGCUUUCUAGCAGAAUGAACUCAGGUCUACAUCAUUAUUUUUGUAAUCUGGUAAGUUAAUAAAUGGUGACUGCCUUUGAAUUUAAAAGAAAUAUGUAUCAUUAUGGAUUCAUGAACCGAAACGUGUUUGGUAGGUCUCAGUCCACUGCAAUUAUUAUCGUCUUUGCAGCUCAGAUCGUCCUGUCUCUGGCCAGCGGUGUCUCACUGGGUGGACCCCACGUCCUGCAUGCUCUCUCAGGGUCAGCUUGGUUGUCAUAUAAUUUACAUACAAAAAAAAUGCACAGAUUUUAAGUGUGAAGUUUGUAGAGUUUUAACAAAUGUUGACUUUUACACUCAUGCAACCACCAUCACAACCAAGAUCUGGAAGAUUCCAUCAGUUCAAAAACUUCCCUCAUAUACCUUGGCAGUCAUCCCCCUCCUCUGGCCCAGCAAUCAUGGACUAGCCAGCAUGGAUCAGAUCUGUUUCAGCUGGAACUUUCUAAAUGGAAUCAUGCAGUGUGUGGGCUGUGUGCCUGGCCUCUUUCAACAUCAUUUUAAGACUCUUCUGUGCUGUUGUGUGUUUCCAUAGGUUUUGUUCCUUUUCUUUGUUGAGAAGGGCUCCAUUCUAUGACGACACCAUUGGCCUGCUGAUGGGCAUUCGAGAGUCUCAGCCUCCACAGGGUGCAGAGGGCAGAGGCAGGGCUGCAGGAGCCACAUGGGGCUGGUUGCUGUCACUCCUGCCAUGCUGGGUUGGCUGGGGAUAGAAACUCAACUCAGAAGAUGAAUCAACUUGCUUAUGUGGCCAAGAGGUCUGAAAAUAGGGCUGGAUCCAGAACCCAAACCAUGUCAUCAGAAAUCUUUCUCCAUAGCUCAGCUCCACUUUCCUUGGGGCUAGCUUCACUCCUAGCAGGCUGUCUGCAGGCGGAGCAAAAUGGACACUGAGAUUUCAGGCUUAUAUAUCUAAUCGGUGGGACAGAGAGGGAGGAGAGAGGGAGAGAGAGAGAGAGAGAUGGAGGGGGUGAGAAAGAUGCAGAGAGAGACAGAGAGAAAGAGACAGAGAGUAAGAGACGCACAGACAGAAAGAGACAGAGUGAGAGAAAGAGACAGAGAGGAGGGAAAGAGACAAAGAGAAAGAGAGAGACAGAGGGAAAAAGACACCAAAAGAGCAAGCACGAGAGAGAUUCCUUUCAAGAAACCCAGCAAAGGUCCCAAGAUGGGCACUCGCUGGCCAGGCUUGGGUCACUUGACCACUUGGGCUGGGAGGAAGCCAUUCCCUAGAACUACCCAGGCUCCCGGAUUGAAACCAGGGACCCGAUAAUGAAAGGAGGAGGGACGCUGGGCAGGCAGAGUGAGGCCACCCUGCACCGUUGCCUCCACAGUGUGCUGAUGCCAGGCCCCGCGUGAGCGUCUGGCACCCACCGUGCACUGCCCUCCCACCUGGUGGGCCGACUCCCGCAGCCCCGCCGUCUCGAUACAGUGGUGGGUGGGUGGUGAGCUGCUUUCCUGUGCUCUGACCUUACUUUAUUUCUAAGAGUGAAAACAGAAAGACGUGAGUGCCAACGCCAGCGACAGAAAGCAGGCUCUGUGAACAGCGCAGAGGCAAGGCUGGCACUGCCCAAGCUGCCCGGGGGACAGGCACGUCAGGCAGGUAUGGCGCUGUGGACUGCAGACUGGGACGUUUGGGGCCACUUUCCUAUAGAGGGUGUAUCUUUAUAGCAGCUGUAAUACACGUUUCCUCAUUGGAGGAGAAGACACGCUGGGUGACCAUCUGUGUGUCAAUGUACACAGUCAAUUUUAUACAUUUUCCAGGAUUGCAUUGUGGACACAGUGAAAGAGACCCCUGGGAGAAAUGCUGCGUUCAGUGGAGACUGAACCCAGCAGGUGGACGCAGCAGUGAGUAAAUCAUCUGCAUCUUUUGGACGUGAGGCUGCACGUGGCACUCUGUGGAUAAUGCAUGCACAUCUACUCAUCGCUUCUUUUUUGCAAAGUGUGCCUGUCACCCAUAAAUCCAUCACAUCCACGGCCAAAGGCUCCUUCAGAACGAGCCGAAUUGCAGUUUCAGGUGUGGGGUCUUCUCUCACAGUCUCUCUUGCACACACACUGGCUUGUGCACGCAGGGACCUCCUGACCGGGCCCGGGGCGGUUGUGGAUGUGUAGGGUCUUUCAGGAGAGCAAAGCUGACUUGAGGACAGACAGCAAAGCUGACUUGAGGACAGACAGCAAAGCUGACUUGAGGACAGACAGCAAAGCUGACUUGAGGACAGACUAGCAGCAAAGCUGACUUGAGGACAGACUAGCAGCAAAGCUGACUUGAGGACAGACAGCAAAGCUGACUUGAGGACAGACAGCAAAGCCCCGCAGCCCCUCGGAGAGUUCUUUUCAUUCCCGGAACCAAGAGUGGGAGGAAAUGGCCCCUAGGAAGUGUCUUAUUUUCUCAUUUGUUAGACGCCGCUGUCAGCCUGGGAGAGCAGGCACUCUCUGUUGUGAAUCAGCCCAGUUGGAUGAGCUCAUGCUGUGAGGGCUGCAGCCCGCCGCCCCUGCACCCACUCCAUUAGCUGUAGGGAGGUGAGCUCCGCGAGGGGCGGGCCGGGGCGCCACAUCAGAUCACUCCCCUUCACGGAACCCAGUCUAAGUGUGGGAUGGCCCUGUCAUGGCUCACACCAAAUAAAACUGAGUCCAGGACAGCGCUGUGAGCCCCCACCACACCCUUAGCUGGAGGCCACAGGUGGCGGGGCUCAGGUCCGAAGCCCUUCAGCAAAGUCCUGGUGUGGGGCCUUGGAGAAGCCACCAAUGUCUCAAGCCUGCUCUCACUUCCUCAUGGGAGGGUCAGGUGGGGCCAUGCAGUUGAAAGACAUCAACAUUCGCCACCCGCACAAGCAGCCUGGGCAGAGGCUGGCUGCAGGCCCCUAGUCCCCACCUCUGCUCCUUCCCCCAGCCUGGCCUGGGUAGUUGUGGGGUGGGGAGUCUGAGGCAGGGGGUGCUGGAGGAGGCCGUGCCCUUGAGAUGCUGGGAGAG